rnacentral:rRNA from 1 species
UACGGAGGGUGCAAGCGUUGUCCGGAUUUAUUGGGUUUAAAGGGUGCGUAGGCGGCCCUGUAAGUCAGUGGUGAAAUACUGCAGCUUAACUGUAGCAUUGCCAUUGAUACUGUAGGGCUUGAGUACAGAUGAGGUAGGCGGAAUUGAUGGUGUAGCGGUGAAAUGCAUAGAUACCAUCAAGAACACCGAUUGCGAAGGCAGCUUACUAAGCUGUAACUGACGCUGAGGCACGAAAAGCGUGGGGAUCGAACAGG